GGUGGAAGACACAUUCAGAUCCUUUACUUAAGUAAAAUCAAAGUAUGUAAGUAUCAACAGCAACAUGUACUCAAAGUAUUAAGAGUAAAAGUACUCGAUGCAGAACAAUCCUCACAUUUAAGAAAC